rnacentral:rRNA from 1 species
CGAGCACGCGCGUGUGGCAUAUCAAUAAGCGGAGGAAAAGAAACUAACUAAGGAUUCCCCUUAGUAACGGCGAGUGAAGCGGGAAGAGCUCAAAUUUGAAAUCUUCAAGGGUUCUACCUUUACGAAUUGUAGUUUAAAGAAGUGUUUUCUGUUGGAGUUUUGGUAAAAGUUCUUUGGAAUAGGACAUCAUAGAGGGUGAGAAUCCCGUAUUUGACCAGUUACUUUCCAGCUGUGUGAUACACUUUCAAAGAGUCGGAUUGUUUGGGAAUGCAGUCCAAAAUGGGUGGUAAAUUUCAUCUAAAGCUAAAUAUUGGCGAGAGACCGAAUAGCGAACAAGUACCGUGAGGGAAAGAUGAAAAGAACUUUGAAAAGAGAGUUAAACAGUACGUGAAAUUGUCAAAAGGGAAGCGUUUGACACCAGUGUUGUUUUUCCGAAAAUCAAUUACGAAUGUUUUAUUUUUGAGGAGUUAUGACUUCAUCGGCUUGCUCCUUUCUUUAUGAAACCUUCUUAAUGCACUUUUCGGUUAACAAGUCAACAUCAAUUUCUUUUGUUGUAAAAGGGUAUGAGGAAGGUGGCUUUCUUUUCGGAGAAAGUGCUUAUAGCCUUGUGCCUCUGCAAUCGGAGAGAUUGAGGUCUGCAGCGUAGAUCCUUCGGGGUUAGAUACAUUUGUGCUAAGUUAUAGCCUUUCAUAGACAACUUGUUGACUAUGAUUAGUCAUUGUAGCUUACUCGCUUAUGCUAUUUUACCUACGCUUAGGAUGUUGAACUCUAUCACACACAG